UAGCCGUAAACGAUACUCGCUAGGUGUCGGCCACGGUGCGACCGUUGUCGGUGCCGUAGGGAAGCCGUGAAGCGAGCCACCUGGGAAGUACGGCCGCAAGGCUGAAACUUAAAGGAAUUGGCGGGGGAGCACAACAACGGGUGGAGCUUGCGGUUUAAUUGGACUCAACGCCGGGAAGCUCACCGGAUAAGACAGCGGAAUGAUUGCCGGGCUGAAGACCCUGCAUGACCAGCUGAGAGGUGGUGCAUGGCGUGUGACUG
rnacentral:rRNA from 1 species